rnacentral:rRNA from 1 species
UACGGAAGGCAGCAGUGGGGAAUAUUGCACAAUGGGCGCAAGCCUGAUGCAGCCAUGCCGCGUGUAUGAAGAAGGCCUUCGGGUUGUAAAGUACUUUCAGUCGUGAGGAAGGUGUUAAGGUUAAUAACCUUAGCAAUUGACGUUAGCGACAGAAGAAGCACCGGCUAACUCCGUGCCAGCAGCCGCGGUAAUACGGAGGGUGCGAGCGUUAAUCGGAAUUACUGGGCGUAAAGGGCACGCAGGCGGUUAAUUAAGUUGGAUGUGAAAUCCCCGGGCUUAACCUGGGAAUGGCAUUCAAGACUGGUUAGCUAGAGUCUUGUAGAGGGGGUAGAAUUCCAUGUGUAGCGGUGAAAUGCGUAGAUAUCUGGAGGAAUACCUGUGGCGAAAGCGGCCUCCUAAACGGAUACUGACACUGAGGUGCGAAAGCGUGGGGAGCAAAC